UUUUAUGUCAUAUAUCGUCCAUUUUUUAAAGAGAGGCAGAAAUGAUCCUGAGCCUAAACUGUUUGUUCUUCCUUGUACUCCUUGCAGGUGUACAAUCUGAGGCCCAGUUGGUGGAGUCUGGAGGGGAUGUGAGAAGACCUGGGGAGUCCCUCCGUCUCUCCUGCCAAGCCUCUGGAUUCAGCUUCAGCAGCUAUGGCAUGCACUGGGUGAGACAGGCUCCAGGGAAAGGCCUGGAAUGGGUGGCAUGGAUAACUGCUGGUUCAAGUACUUACUACUCAGACAAAGUCAAGGGCCGCUUCACCAUCUCCAGGGACGAUGCCAAAGGCCAGCUGUAUCUGCAAAUGAACAGCCUCAAACUAGAGGACAUGGCAAUCUAUUACUGUGUGGGAGACACAGUGAGAGGAAGUGAAUCUGAAGCCUGUCAAGAUCUUUCUCUAGUUUUGAAAAGCUUAUGCUUAUACUCAGGUCCCAUUAAUCUCUAUAGGGACCUUGUGUUUCUCAUGGAAGAGGGGACAAUUUGGCUUUCUCCCCUCAACUGGUCUGUCCCAAGACUGUCAGAUAUUGACAAUUACACAUUUCUCCUCUCAAGAAGCCUUCUGGAUCUGUAUACUUUGGACUGUCUUGUCAUCAUUGCUUGA